AACUGGCCUGUGUAAGCGGAUGGGCUCGGCCUCAAGGACAGGGUGCUCGGCUGAAAAAAAAAGCUCGCGGCGAUCACCGAUGCCAGGGUUCUCCAGAAACGGAGCCCAUCUAACCAAUGCCCAGCACACUCGCUCGGCUCCACACACGAGACCACCUCCGACCCGCACUAAGUCGGCCAACUGCACUCUGGAGGCGGCGGCAGCCAGCGAGGGAGAAAGGGAACUUGAGAAGGGGAAGGCUGUCCCGGGACCCCGAGGAGGACAGCCCCGCUACCGGGAACGGGGUGCGGCAUAAAACACCUCCGGCUUAGGGCCGACCCUCCCUGACCCCUGGAGGCCCAGGCGGGGCGGCUGGGGGUGACGCGGCAGGGGUCUCCGCGCCCAGGCUCCCGCGGAGCACCCACACGUGGAGGUUCCCACUUUGGGGUCGCGGCCGCAGCAGCACCGGGCGGGGUGCUGUCCGCGCUGCCCGCAUACGGCCGCGGCCUGAGUGGAGACGCCUGCCCCCAGCCCCGCGGCCUCGGCCCCCGUCCGCCCUCCCUCCCUGCUCGGCGGCCUCGUACUCACGCUGACUUCAUGGCAGCAGGCUCCACGCCGCUCAAACGCGCGCGCGGGACGGCUGGCUGGCGAAGACUGCGGGACGUUAGGACCGGCAGCAGGAACGGGGACUCCGCGGCUAAGGCGCGGUGCUCUGCGAAGCUGGCGGCGACGCUAAGAGCCCAGGUGAGCUCCCGCCUGGCGCAUUUCAAACGGGCCAAUCAGCGCCCGUCCGCAGGGAGAAGCCGGACCUCCGCGGAAGUGACUGAGCUGCCGGAAGUGGCGCUUGUCUCCUAGGCGACCGACGCGGAAAGGGCCACGGAGUCGUGUGUCGGGGCUGGAGGGAGAUCUUGAGAUCACCUCAAACUUAAGUGAGCUCAGGUUCAUCUGGAGGAUGACUCGGCCUCUGUUCUCGUCCUACCUGACGAGAAAUACCCACAGGUGUGGAGGGGCUGGCCCCCUUCACCUGGGUCUCGACUCCUGUUUUGUUCUACGGUUCCCAUUGCAGUGCUGUGACCCCCAGAAGCUCAGGAAAACCACUGACUUCCUGGUGUUGCCAACAGGCAGAGAGGAGAUGCAGCCAGUCCUUACCCUGUAGAAGAUGGGGAGGGAGUCCCAGGUGUACGGAUAAGCAAAGGCGAGGACACGAAUCACCUUACAGAGUCUGGGCUUCUGGAUUUCAAGAAACCUAAAUCAGGGAAGGAAAGUGGGGGAGGAAAUGGAAUGAAAAGAGUCUCAGCAAAUUGCACACGCACGUGCGUGCACACCGAGGGCCUGGUCAUCAACAGAGGACAAGCAUUUUUGUGCAAGCUCCUGUGGCCAGCAGCUUCUCCACCACCCUCGUCCAUUCCUCCCCACCCCAAUGGAAGUGACAAAACUUCAGAUGCGAAAAGAUCUCCAGAGACCUGACCAUGAGAAGCAGUGGUGUCCAGACUAAGCCAGAAAGGAGGCGCUGGGCAGAAACCCUUCGAGGGCCAAGUUAUGUAACUGCCAAAGAAUCUUUUAAAACUCUAGUUGCUACAGGGACAGGGAACAGGUAGGGGGAAUUGGGGGAUCCACUGCCACAGACUCUUGAGGGGCACACUCUGCAAAGGCUGAGAUGCACCCAUCUAGUUGGAGCCCAGGUAUUAUCAUGCAGGAGACCUGGGUUCGAGUAGGUGUUUGAUCCUUGGAGAGCUUUCUGGAAUAUUUAUACCACACACAGGGAUACUUGGCUUGGGAAAACUAAAUAAAUGUGAAGUCUUUC
rnacentral:antisense_RNA from 1 species